GAUGAACGCUGGCGGCGUGCCUAAUACAUGCAAGUAGAACGCUGAAGGAAGGAGCUUGCUCUUUCCGGAUGAGUUGCGAACGGGUGAGUAACGCGUAGGUAACCUGCCUGGUAGCGGGGGAUAACUAUUGGAAACGAUAGCUAAUACCGCAUAACAGUAGAUGUUGCAUGAUAUCUACUUAAAAGGUGCAAUUGCACCACUACCAGAUGGACCUGCGUUGUAUUAGCUAGUUGGUGAGGUAACGGCUCACCAAGGCGACGAUACAUAGCCGACCUGAGAGGGGGAUCGGCCACACUGGGACGGAGACACGGCCCAGACUCCUACGGGAGGCAGCAGUAGGGAAGCUUCGGCAAUGGACGGAAGUCGGACCGAGCAACGCCGCGGGAGUGAAGAAGGUUUUCGGAUCGUAAAGCUCUGUUGUAAGAGAAGAACGAGUGUGAGAGUGGAAAGUUCACACUGUGACGGUAUCUGACCAGAAAGAGACGGCUAACUACGUG
rnacentral:rRNA from 1 species